rnacentral:tRNA from 1 species
AUUUAAAUAGUUUAAUUAAAAUAUUAAUUUGUGGAAUUAAAGAUUAUAUAUUUAUAUUUAAAUA